rnacentral:rRNA from 1 species
AGUGAACGCUGGCGGUAGGCCUAACACAUGCAAGUCGAACGGCAGCACAGUAAGAGCUUGCUCUUACGGGUGGCGAGUGGCGGACGGGUGCGGAAUACAUCGGAAUCUACUUUUUCGUGGGGGAUAACGUAGGGAAACUUACGCUAAUACCGCAUACGACCUACGGGUGAAAGCAGGGGAUCUUCGGACCUUGCGCGAUUGAAUGAGCCGAUGUCGGAUUAGCUAGUUGGCGGGGUAAAGGCCCACCAAGGCGACGAUCCGUAGCUGGUCUGAGAGGAUGAUCAGCCACACUGGAACUGAGACACGGUCCAGACUCCUACGGGAGGCAGCAGUGGGGAAUAUUGGACAAUGGGCGCAAGCCUGAUCCAGCCAUACCGCGUGGGUGAAGAAGGCCUUCGGGUUGUAAAGCCCUUUUGUUGGGAAAGAAAAGCAGCAGGUUAAUACCCCGCUGUUCUGACGUUACCCAAAGAAUAAGCACCGGCUAACUUCGUG